rnacentral:rRNA from 1 species
UACGUAGGUGGCAAGCGUUGUCCGGAUUUACUGGGCGUAAAGAGCGCGCAGGCGGUCGUUCAAGUCGCGUGUGAAAGCCCCCGGCUCAACUGGGGAGGGUCACGCGAUACUGAUCGACUCGAAGGCAGGAGAGGGUAGUGGAAUUCCCGGUGUAGUGGUGAAAUGCGUAGAUAUCGGGAGGAACACCAGCGGCGAAGGCGGCGACCUGGUCAGAUACUGACGCUGAGGCGCGAAAGCGUGGGGAGCAAACAGG